CUACGGCCAUAUCACGUUGAAAUAUCGGUUCCCAUAUCAUCACUGGAGUUAAGCAACGUCGAACCUGGUCAGUACCUAGAUGGGUGACCGCUUGGGAAACCAGGUGCUGUAAG